UGGGGAAUAUUGCACAAUGGGGGAAACCCUGAUGCAGCGACGCCGCGUGAGUGAAGAAGUAUUUCGGUAUGUAAAGCUCUAUCAGCAGGGAAGAUAAUGACGGUACCUGAGUAAGAAGCCCCGGCUAACUACGUGCCAGCAGCCGCGGUAAUACGUAGGGGGCAAGCGUUAUCCGGAUUUACUGGGUGUAAAGGGAGCGUAGACGGCAUGGCAAGUCUGAAGUGAAAGCCCGGGGCUCAACCGCGGGACUGCUUUGGAAACUGUUAAGCUGGAGUGCAGGAGAGGUAAGUGGAAUUCCUAGUG
rnacentral:rRNA from 1 species